UUCAGCAGGGACGAAGCGAGAGUGACGGUACCUGCAGAAGAAGCACCGGCCAACUACGUGCCAGCAGCCGCGGUAAUACGUAGGGUGCAAGCGUUGUCCGGAAUUAUUGGGCGUAAAGAGCUCGUAGGCGGUUCGUCGCGUCGGCUGUGAAAACCUGAGGCUCAACCUCAGGCCUGCAGUCGAUACGGGCGGACUUGAGUGUUGCAGGGGAGACUGGAAUUCCUGGUGUAGCGGUGAAAUGCGCAGAUAUCAGGAGGAACACCGGUGGCGAAGGCGGGUCUCUGGGCAACUACUGACGCUGAGGAGCGAAAGCGUGGGGAGCGAACAGGAUUAGAUACCCUGGUAGUCCACGCCGUAAACGUUGGGCGCUAGGUGUGGGGGCCAUUCCACGGUCUCCGUGCCGCAGCUAACGCAUUAAGCGCCCCGCCUGGGGAGUACGGCCGCAAGGCUAAAACUCAAAGGAAUUGACGGGGGCCCGCACAAGCGGCGGAGCAUGUUGCUUAAUUCGAUGCAACGCGAAGAACCUUACCUAGGCUUGACAUGCACGGAAAUCUCGCAGAGAUGCGGGGUCCGUAAGGGCCGUGCACAGGUGGUGCAUGGUUGUCGUCAGCUCGUGUCGUGAGAUGUUGGGUUAAGUCCCGCAACGAGCGCAACCCUCGUUCCAUGUUGCCAGCGCGUAAUGGC
rnacentral:rRNA from 1 species